AAAAAAAAAAAAAAAAAAAAACCUAGGGGAUUUUGCUCAUUCGUGUUCUAGUUGAUCAUCCACUUUCCUCCCCAUUAUGCCCUGCUUUCUAUGCUCAUUGGCUCAGCCUCAUCAGCUUACGGAUUUCUGUAGAUGAAAAACCAAAUCAGCACAUCAAUAUAAAAGGUUAAAUAUGAUAAAAAAACACUAUUAAAACAAUCUUAUGACAACAAAUAUCCUAGGAAGAAUGCUCCAGCACUUGAAUCUUGGUUCAUCCAAACGAGAUUACCUGGGUUAAAGAUUUCCUAGUUCUCCAUAAACAAGGGAAUACUUACAUUAGAGUCAACAGGGCCCAGUUUAUUCAUCUUUGAAAACAUGUUGCCAUAAAACUUGGCUUCUUUCUUGUUAUACUCCCUCAUCUUUUCCUUCAAAGUUUUAUACUCUAGCUUGACAUCCCUGUUUUUAUCAUGCGUAAAGUUCAAAAGAUCAAAAUAUUACAUAUCUUCAACAAAAUCUAGAAUUCAAUGGUUUUCUAUCGAACAUUCAGAACCUAUUAUUCCAUGUUUCAAAGCUAUAAUGAACUGUUGGCCAAGACUAACAGAUAUGACAUACCUGUUCUCAGGGUCAAUUUCAAGGGCCUUUUUAACAUCAAACUCAGCCACAUCUAAAUCUGCCAACUGGAUAUAUGCCUGAGCUCUCCUAUAAAGAGCCUUCACAUUUCUACUCUCCAUCUCUAACACCUUUGUGCACAGCUUUUCUGCCUGUUUGUAAUCCUUCAAUUUUAAUUUACAUGCAGCAUUAUUUAGGUUAGAAGCAACCUUUAAUGCCUUGGCCUGCUUUUUUUCCUCCUCACCAAAAGAAGAAUCAUAUUCUAUGUAUUUGACUGCCUUCUCAUAUCUCUUAGACGCUUUAGCAUAUUUUCCAGCUUUGAACAAAACAUUGCCUUCUUCCUUCUUCUUACCAGCAGCUUCAAUUUUUUCUUGGGUGUUCAUGUCCCAUGAUUCCUUUUCUUUGACAAAAGACACCAGCUCAGCCUCAUAGUAUACAGUCGAGUUGGGAGGAACAACAGCCAACUCCUGCUGUGAUUCAGAUGAACCAAAUGCAUACUCUGCUGCAAUUGUUAACAGUGCCACCUCACCCUUCUUCAUUGUCAUCACAGCUCUAUCAAGCCCCUCAAUUACUUGCUCCUCAUCUGUCUUGAACUCAAAUACUUCAUCCUCAUUAUCAUGGCCCUUCUUCAGAAAUACUGUACCAUCUUGCAACUUCCCAAUCAAUUUCAACUUGACAACAGCUCCAUCAUUUGGACGCUCAUAUCCCUCGCCCUCCUUCAGGAUUUUCUUUAUAACCUUCUUGUCAUCAGUCACCUCUGACACUGUCUUCCAUGAAAUCAACUCCAGUGUUAUUUGGAGUGUGGCAUUGGGUGGAACAGCGCCUUCAUCAGCAGAUGCUGGCUUACCCUUCUCCCCAAACCCAUAUUGAGGCUUCACCGUUAGAAGAACCUUCUCUCCCUUCUUCAUUGUCUUGACAGCCCUUGACAAUGCAGGACAAAAAUGACCCUUUUUGACGGUAAACUCUACUCCAUCAGAUUUGGCAACAACUGUUCCAUCCUCAAGCAGAGCUUCAUAUUUAACUGUAACUUCAUCAAGAUCCUUGGGAUUCUCCCAUUUCUCUCCUUCAACAAGAAUCUUCUUAAAUAUCCCACCAUCCUUGCAGAUAUCCUUGACACUAGUCCAAGACAGCAAUUCAACAUCAAACUGAAGUGUUGCAUUGGGAGGAAUGGUAGGUGGUGACCCAGAAGCACCAUAAGCCAGCUCAGGUGGAAUGGUGAAAAUAGCAUUUUCCCCUUUCUUCAUUGUUUUAAUACCUUGGUCCCACCCUUUAAUCACUUGG
rnacentral:misc_RNA from 1 species